rnacentral:lncRNA from 1 species
CCUGAAUUAAAGGUUUUAAGUGUCAUUCAUUUCUGAAUGUAGUUAAUAUUAUUAUAACUUCUAAGAAGUUAGGGCGUGGAGGAUUUCACAAUUUAAUAGGGAAGAUAACAUUUACACCCUGAUAAUACCCUUUCUGAUAAUUGCCCUUUCUGACUGGACCUUUGUCUGCCCCAGACUUAAGCAUAUGCAUUGUUCAGCAAUACUGAGACCUGGAGAGGGUAUUAGCAUGUGGUUCCUCUUUUAGGUUUUUUGUUCCUGAAAAUGCUCAUUAACCUCUCCAAAUCUCUUUAUCUGUAGGAGAGGAAGAACAUUUGUCCAACAUUCUGACUCAGAGAAGUUGUAAGGGUAAAAAAGGAAAAGGGCUACUUGGACUGAGGCAGGAGGAUCACAAGUUCAAUGCCAGCCUGAAUAACUUAAGUGAGACUGUCUCAAAAUAAAAACAAAAAGGACUGGAGAUGUAGCUCAGUAGUAGAGGGCCCUUGGUUUCAAUCCCCAGAAUCCUCCCACCCCACCCCCAGAAAAAAAGAAAGGAAAAGAAGGGAAUGGGAAAAUGGAAGCAACAACUGCAGCGUUGGAGUUUAGAGGAGGAAAUGGCUACUUUUAGAGGGGUUGUCAGAGAAGAUUUGGUAGAGGUUCAGCCAUUGAAAUGGUCAGUAAAGAUGUCAGAAAUUUCAGCUAGAAACAAACACAAAGAAAUGAAAAAGGUGUCAUGUAGGACUGUGUUAAAAGUAUUCCAAGGAUCUUCAGAGACAUAAUCUUAUUACAGAAAUUAAUUUUUAUUAAACCAAUUCCUAACUAUGAAGGAUACUGGUAAAUAAAUCAGAUGAAUUAUAUUGGGGCCUCUAGGUCAUUUAUUCAUUCAGUCAAUAAAUAUCGAGCAUCUGUUAGGUCUCAGGCAAUGCUGGAUAUUGGGCCUUUAACAUCAAGGCAAACAAAUAAGGUCUCUGGGUCCUUGGAGUUUAUAGUCUGUCAGAGGUUUAUGACAUACCCUAGCAGCUGGGUCCUAGCAGUCACAGGCUUCUGUCCUGGAGCAAAUGAGC